CAGAGGACCCCUAAACUCUGUUUCUAUAUGUAACUUCUGAGUAAAACCAUAAAUAAAUCAAAACUUUCAACAACGGAUCUCUUGGUUCUGGCAUCGAUGAAGAACGCAGCAAAAUGCGAUAAGUAAUGUGAAUUGCAGAAUUCAGUGAAUCAUCGAAUCUUUGAACGCACAUUGCGCCCGCCAGUAUUCUGGCGGGCAUGCCUGUUCGAGCGUCAUUUCAACCCUCAAGCACAGCUUGGUGUUGGGACUCGCGUUAAUUCGCGUUCCCCAAAUUGAUUGGCGGUCACGUCGAGCUUCCAUAGCGUAGUAGUAAAACCCUCGUUACUGGUAAUCGUCGCGGCCACGCCGUUAAACCCCAACUUCUGAAUGUUGACCUCGGAUCAGGUAGGAAUACCCGCUGAACUUAA
rnacentral:rRNA from 1 species